GACGAACGCUGGCGGCGUGCUUAACACAUGCAAGUCGAACGGAAAGGCCCUGCUUUUGUGGGGUGCUCGAGUGGCGAACGGGUGAGUAACACGUGAGUAACCUGCCCUUGACUUUGGGAUAACUUCAGGAAACUGGGGCUAAUACCGGAUAGGAGCUCCUGCUGCAUGGUGGGGGUUGGAAAGUUUCGGCGGUUGGGGAUGGACUCGCGGCUUAUCAGCUUGUUGGUGGGGUAGUGGCUUACCAAGGCUUUGACGGGUAGCCGGCCUGAGAGGGUGACCGGCCACAUUGGGACUGAGAUACGGCCCAGACUCCUACGGGAGGCAGCAGUGGGGAAUAUUGCACAAUGGGCGGAAGCCUGAUGCAGCAACGCCGCGUGCGGGAUGACGGCCUUCGGGUUGUAAACCGCUUUCGCCUGUGACGAAGCGUGAGUGACGGUAAUGGGUAAAGAAGCACCGGCUAACUACGUGCCAGCAGCCGCGGUGAUACGUAGGGUGCGAGCGUUGUCCGGAUUUAUUGGGCGUAAAGGGCUCGUAGGUGGUUGAUCGCGUCGGAAGUGUAAUCUUGGGGCUUAACCCUGAGCGUGCUUUCGAUACGGGUUGACUUGAGGAAGGUAGGGGAGAAUGGAAUCCCUGGUGGAGCGGUGGAAUGCGCAGAUAUCAGGAGGAACACCAGUGGCGAAGGCGGUUCUCUGGGCCUUUCCUGACGCUGAGGAGCGAAAGCGUGGGGAGCGAACAGGCUUAGGUACCCUGGUAGUCCACGCUGUAAACGGUGGGUACUAGGUGUGGGGUCCAUUCCACGGGUUCCGUGCCGUAGCUAACGCUUUAAGUACCCCGCCUGGGGAGUACGGCCGCAAGGCUAAAACUCAAAGGAAUUGACGGGGCCCCGCACAAGCGGCGGAGCAUGCGGAUUAAUUCGAUGCAACGCGUAGAACCUUACCUGGGUUUGACAUGGAUCGGGAGUGCUCAGAGAUGGGUGUGCCUCUUUUGGGGUCGGUUCACAGGUGGUGCAUGGCUGUCGUCAGCUCGUGUCGUGAGAUGUUGGGUUAAGUCCCGCAACGAGCGCAACCCUUGUUCACUGUUGCCAGCACGUUAUGGUGGGGACUCAGUGGAGACCGCCGGGGUCAACUCGGAGGAAGGUGGGGAUGACGUCAAGUCAUCAUGCCCCUUAUGUCCAGGGCUUCACGCAUGCUACAAUGGCUGGUACAGAGAGUGGCGAGCCUGUGAGGGUGAGCGAAUCUCGGAAAGCCGGUCUCAGUUCGGAUUGGGGUCUGCAACUCGACCUCAUGAAGUCGGAGUCGCUAGUAAUCGCAGAUCAGCAACGCUGCGGUGAAUAAGUUCCCGGGGCU
rnacentral:rRNA from 1 species